rnacentral:lncRNA from 13 species
UUAUUUGUCUCAGAACCUUGUGCCGAAGCCCCCGCAAGGCCCCAGGCCCAGCCAUGAGGCAAAUAUAGCAAAGGCAGAAAAGAAGGCCACAGAGGUUAUCAAGGCUAGAAGGUCUAGGGAGGCUAAGUCAGGGGUGAAAAAACUAAGCCGCCAAGUAGUUGGUAUGUUGGCACUGCCUCAAACUCUUCUAACUCAAACAACCAGUUACAGUGGGUAUUCAUCUCCACUUCCAAAAUACCUGGAUUUAUUGAUAGAAUUCUAAAACGAUAUAUGGUGGAAGGAUCCACUAAUGUCUAUGAUCCUCUUUCUGUAGGUGUCCUGCCAGCUAUCAAGAAGGGCACUAAAGUUACCCUCCAGUCCUCCAGCUCCCUCUCCCUCUCCGAUGACAACAAGGAGGCACUAGGGGCCGUCUGCCAGGUCCUGACCACCAGGGUGGGAGACAUCCUGAACAGUACCUGCAACGACGAUUACAAGGCCAGGCUCAUCAUCCAGAAAGGUACACUUAUAACCUGUUUUGCCCAUAUCACCAGUAAUAACCAUGUAAUAACUUGUGUAAUAACCAGUGUAUUAUCAUUAUAGUAAAUGUACUAGAUACUGCAUAGUGUUAUACAUGGAUGUGGCUUUGAAAAAGUUCAGAAUAUGAGUGUGUUUUCUUAGGAUUGGAUUCCGGUGCCAGAGAAAGGUUCC